GACCAUGAAAGGCAUGGACACCAUGCUAUCUGCACUGGUGCUCAACUCUCCUGCCUCCAGAGUCAACGAGAAGAUGCAGAGUAUCUUCCAGAUGCUCCUGACCUUCACCACCUCUGAGAGGGCAUCUGUGCGUGAGAGGGCCGUGGGCAGGAUGAGGGUGCUCAGCUUCUUGCUGGCCAACUACUCCUCACUGAAGGCCGAUCCCAAUGAGGAGAGACACGCCUCCCGUGCAGAGAUGCAAAUGCCAAUCAUUGGACAGCUGCUGGGACAUCUCCUGCUACUCCUCUCCUUCAAGGAAGAAGAGACCGGCCACUUGGCUUUGGACGCUCUUUGUCUCCUCUUCCAAUUCAAGUAUCAGCAACACUGUAAGAGAAGCUGUGGUGGGAUGGAUCCCCCUGCACACCAACAUC